AAUCCAUGAUGUGGGCACUUGCAUAAUAAAUCCUCGAACUGGUCCCAUGCCUCAUACAGUGAUUCCAUAUCAGCUUGCAAAAACAUUGUAAUUUCGUUACGUAACUUU